CACCAACAACACAACACAACGAUUUACUCACUAAUUCCUCACAAUGGGAAUUAGCUACAGCCCCACAGGCUAUGCCAUGCAUUCAUUAUGCAAUGAGACUCCAUGAAAUGCGGUACCGACUCUUCUCGAACAUAUAGUUCAAGCUCACCGAUCCCUCCAGAUACGGCUACUGAGCCCACUAGUCCCACUCAUUGAGAUCUAAUGACUCACUCACUAAUUCCUCACCAUGGGAAUUAGCUACAGCCCCGAAGGCUAGACUAUGCACACUAAUC
rnacentral:lncRNA from 1 species